AGGGCCAUAGCUCAGUGGUGGAGCAUCUGCUUUGCAUGCAGAAGGUCGCAGGUUCAAUCCCUGGUGUCCCUA